CUUCCUCUGCUCAGCGCCUCCUCCUCCAAUACAUUUAAAGCUGAGGUUGAAGUUCCAGUCUGACAUUCUCUGUCUGAUGGUCAACAUGAUAAACCUGAACCAAGCAGCUCUGCCCGCCAUUCAGCUAGUGUUUAUGUAUCAAGCCUUUGCAGGUCAUUGUCUCGUGCACCACUGGGAUAUUCUGGUGUCCAGAGGAGAAUCUGUCACACUGACUUGCAACACAUCCGAGGAAAAGAUCACACAAGUCCACUGGACCAACGACAGAUUUAGUUUUAUUCAUUCAAUUCAACUUAAUAAGACUUUUUCGAAUCUAACCUCUCACAGACUGACAAUAGACGGAAACUUAUCUUUAAAUCUGAAUGUUUUUAAUGCUACACAUGAAGACUCAGGACUCUAUACAUGUACAGUAAGUGGUGGUCGUGGCACAUGGACAAUGGAGUGGAAUAUGACAGUGUCUGGUAAGCAAGGAGACAGUUCAUCAUGGGCUCAUCUAUACAUACUCACAUAUGUGAUUGGACUUCUUCUCUGUGUCGUCCCUACAGCUGUCUGUCUCUGCAGGAAACUCAGGACACGAAACCAGAGCAGCUCAGUCCAGGACCAGACUGAACUUGAGUCAGCAGAAGAGGUUGGCCUAGACAGAAGGACACAUAACGAGCACAGGAGUCAGUACAUCGAGAGGCUCAACUCCGUCUACGGUGAAAUCUGAGUUGACACGCUUUACAAAUGACAGUCAAACAAGACACAUGGGCCGAGUAUACAAGAGAAAGAUGACAUUUGACAGGACUUACAUUUUUCAUUUUGGAGCCAGGCGCUUCGAGGAGGACAACUGGGUCACUGACGUCUUCGUUUGUCUAAAAGAAAUGCAUUAAAAGAGGUCAUUGUUUCGUUGAUCACUGGGAUAUUCUGGUGUUCAGGGGAGAAUCUGUCACGCUAACUUGCAACACAUCCCAGGAAAAGAUCACACAAGUCCACUGGACCAACGACAGAUUUAGUUUUAUUCAUUCAGUUCUACUUAAUAAGACUUUUUUGAAUCCACAUCUUAUUUUAUGCAGGUGUCAGUUCACCGUGGGAGUUCUGUACAUACUCAGACAUGUGAUUGGACUUCUUCUCUUUGUCAUCGCUCUGGAACACUUAACAUCUUGACUUCCUCCUCCCUUCACCACUUAUCGUCAUUGCGAAACUGUCAUGUGAACUGGCUGUAUUUUUAAACAUUUCUACAUUUACUAAACAUAUUUCACACUAUUUAUUUAUCUGAUAUUAAACUGUAAUAUUGUUAAU